rnacentral:rRNA from 1 species
UACGUAGGGUGCGAGCGUUGUCCGGAAUUAUUGGGCGUAAAGGGCUCGUAGGCGGUUUGUCGCGUCGGGAGUGAAAAUCCAGGGCUUAACUCUGGACUGGCUUCCGAUACGGGCAGACUAGAGGUAUGCAGGGGAGAACGGAAUUCCUGGUGUAGCGGUGGAAUGCGCAGAUAUCAGGAGGAACACCGGUGGCGAAGGCGGGUCUCUGGGCAGUAACUGACGCUGAGGAGCGAAAGCGUGGGGAGCGAACAGG